rnacentral:lncRNA from 1 species
AAUUCGUCGGCUAAAGUCCGAAAAAAAAUUCGUCAGCUAAAGUCCACUUUAGCCGACGAAAAAAUAUAAUUUCGUCGGCUAAAGUGCCUUAUAUUUGCAGAUCUAGACAACAACUCAUCUGAGAAAAAAAACUAUACGUAGAACCUUCAAACGCAAAAAAGUCGUGAAAUAAGAUAUGACCAGAACGGUGAAAUACGACUACGGUUGAAAAUAUAUGAAAAGUCGUCGGCUAAGGUCAAAAAAUUUCAAAAUUUUUUAGGCGGUAAACCAAAGUUGGAGGAAAAUUUUCAAAGGAUUUUAGCCGACGAAAAUAUAUGAAAAGUCGUCGGCUAAAGUCGAAAAAUUUUCAAAAUUUUCAACCAAAAUUUUUUGGCGGUCAACCAAAAUUUUCAAAAGAGUUUAGCCGACGAAAAUAAAGAAUUUCGUCGGCUAAAGUUCUUUAUAUAGGCGAAGAUGGAUGGUAAGAAGUCUAUUAUCUGCCAGAUUUUCUUCUCGGCCUAGCUCCGCCGUCAAGCCACCGGAGACCGUCACACUAGUCCCAAAAGCUUCGCCGUCGUCUUUACUUCAUUGCUGGAUAGGUGGUGCAUCGAGUGGCGCCGCCAUGAGGGAUAAAUCGAGCUCCAAAACUCCGCCGGUUCGGAUUCGGUGUCGAUCAAAUUUCUCCUUCCUUAGGUCACCAUUUGGUGAGUUCUAUAUAUGGAUAAGUUGAGUUUGAUUAGUACUACAUUCCCCUAGAAUUUGGUAGCCUGAUUCGGUGUGUGUGAAGAGAAUCGAAGAUUUGAAGUUUUUAGGGUUUAAAAUUGGGGAUUUUUAUAUUUUGAGUCGAUUGACCUGUUUAGGCUUAGAAUUGAGCUUCGAUUUCUUCUAGAAAGUUGUUCGAAAUGUUGAGACGAAGAUUCUGUCAAAUUUUGGUCGUGAUUGGAGGUGGCCGAAAGUUUCUGCAGUUUUUUUUUUCUAAAACCCAGCAACUUUAGCCGACGAUAUUUAUUCGUCGGCUAUAGUAUUUUUUAAUUUUUUUAUAAGGUUUAGCCGACGAAUUAUGGCAUGUUUCGUCGGCUAUAGUUAUUUUUUAAUUUUUUAUAAGGUUUAGCCGACGAAAUAUAGUAUAUUUCGUCGGCUAUAGUUAUUUUUUAAAUUUUUAUAAGGUUUAGCCGACGAAAUAUAGUAAAUUUCGUCGGCUAUAGUUAUUUUUUAAAUUUUUAUAAGGUUUAGCCGACGAAAUAUAGUAAAUUUCGUCGGCUAUAGUUAUUUUUUAAUUAUUUAUUAGACACUUUAGCCGACGAAUAUAUUAAUUGUUUCGUCGGCUAAAGUCUGGGAAAAAAACCGACGACAUGUUUUUCGUCGGCUAACUGUGGGACUAUAGCCGACGAAAAUAAAAAUUUCGUCGGCUAAAGUCAUCACCGACGACCUUUUCCCGACGACACUAUAGCCGACGAGCCUUCGUCGGCUAAGAUCUUAGCCGACGAAUUAAGAUAACAGGCCGACGA